GACGAACGCUGGCGGCGUGCUUAACACAUGCAAGUCGAACGGAAAGGCCUGCUUUCCCUUGUGGAUUGCGGGUACUCGAGUGGCGAACGGGUGAGUAACACGUGAGUGAUCUGCCCCCAACUUGGGUAUAAGCCUGGGAAACUGGGUCUAAUUCCCGAUAGGACUGCAGUGUGGUGCCUGUGGUGGAAAACGAUUUUCUAGUGGUUGGGGAUGAGCUCGCGGCCUAUCAGCUUGUUGGUGGGGUAAUGGCCUACCAAGGCGGCGACGGGUAGCCGGCCUGAGAGGGUGGACGGCAACAUUGGGACUGAGAUACGGCCCAGACUCCUACGGGAGGCAGCAGUGGGGAAUAUUGCACAAUGGGCGGAAGCCUGAUGCAGCGACGCCGCGUGGGGGAUGACGGCCUUCGGGUUGUAAACUCCUUGCGACCGCGAGGAAGCCACCUGGUUGGAAGGGUGGUGACGGUAGUGGUAGAAGAAGCACCGGCUAACUACGUG
rnacentral:rRNA from 1 species